rnacentral:rRNA from 1 species
UGGGGGAUAUUGCACAAUGGGCGAAAGCCUGAUGCAGCGACGCCGCGUGGGGGAUGAAGGCCUUCGGGUUGUAAACUUCUUUUGCUCUGAACAAGGCGCACCAUGGGGUGUGUUGAGUGUAGGGGUUGAUUAGCGCCGGCUAACUACGUGCCAGCAGCCGCGGUAAUACGUAGGGCGCGAGCGUUGUCCGGAAUUAUUGGGCGUAAAGGGCUUGUAGGUGGCUGGUUGCGUCUGUCGUGAAAGCUCAUGGCUUAACUGUGGGUUUGCGGUGGGUACGGGCUGGCUUGAGUGCAGUAGGGGAGGCUGGAAUUCCUGGUGUAGCGGUGGAAUGCGCAGAUAUCAGGAGGAAUACCGGUGGCGAAGGCGGGUCUCUGGGCUGUUACUGACACUGAGGAGCGAAAGCAUGGGAGCGAACAGG